GUGCUCCUCUCCAGCUCUUCAUCCUGAGUACAAAACAGGAACAUGAGAUAUGUUUUAAUCAGUGUGAGUUGAUGUGCGUCAUCUAUCUGCCCGGUGUAGUUUAUGCCACUUGGCCAGGCUUGGGUGUAGUUCUGCAUGGUUGAGAAGAAGAGUUAUCACUCGUCUGACCCUCAUCCAAGAUUAGAGCUGCUGAACUGACUACCGCCCACUGUCCACGUUAAAAGUGCUGCAGGCCAGGCCAGCGCAGGCCGCCAUGUCAAGGUCGCUUGCUGAAACUGUCGACGCACAUCCAAAAGAAUUCUCAGCUUUAGUGUGCCAGCCAUCCACGUCAUGACAGGUGACAACCAGGCUUCCGAUUAGACUGUAAGCUGUGCACCCCCAGUCCACACGCACCAAAGACAGUUCCCUCAAGGGACUGCUCACCAUGGGGACCCGCGUUUUGCUCAUGGCCAUCAUCUUUCUAAGGAAGAGGUCAAAUUGUCCCUCUUUUCUUUACUUUCACAAUCUACGAGGCUUUUGAGUGGCCCUUGCUGUUAAAGCCGAGUGGUCUGAAGAGUACAAAUCUUACUAAAUGGAAACACUGAAUAUUGAAGGUUAUCAAAUAUUGAAGUUGAUGGGAUCCAAAAACUUACAGUAACCUAAAGAUGUGAAAUUUAAAAUUACAGCUGCAGUGUAACAGAUUUUACAAUAGAAACUACACAAAGGAAAGAAACAAAGGCAUAGUUUGUUCUGUGUCAAGCUUAAUCAUGCAGUACAUGGGCA
ensembl:lncRNA